UCGGGCCUUGCGCUAUUCGAUGAGCCUGAGUGAGAUUAGCUAGUUGGUGGGGUAAAGGCCUACCAAGGCGACGAUCUCUAGCUGGUCUGAGAGGAUGAUCAGCCACACUGGGACUGAGACACGGCCCAGACUCCUACGGGAGGCAGCAGUGGGGAAUAUUGCACAAUGGACGAAAGUCUGAUGCAGCCAUGCCGCGUGUGUGAAGAAGGCCUUCGGGUUGUAAAGCACUUUCAGCGAGGAGGAAAGGUCAGUAAGUAAUAUUUGCUGGCUGUGACGUUACUCGCAGAAGAAGCACCGGCUAAUUUAGUGCCAGCAGCCGCGGUAAUACUAAAGGUGCAAGCGUUAAUCGGAAUUACUGGGCGUAAAGCGCGCGUAGGUGGUUUGUUAAGUUGGAUGUGAAAGCCCAGGGCUCAACCUUGGAACUGCAUUCAAAACUGACUCACUAGAGUACGAGAGAGGUUAGUGGAAUUUCCUGUGUAGCGGUGAAAUGCGUAGAGAUGGGAAGGAAC
rnacentral:rRNA from 1 species